rnacentral:hammerhead_ribozyme from 1 species
UUGCUGAGGAGUCCCAAACAAGACGAAACAGCUGUCCAG